rfam:Callithrix jacchus chromosome 14, whole genome shotgun sequence
GGAGUAAACUGGCUGCCAUAUCUGUCAUCCCAGUGAUUGCCAGAGUUGAUUCACUGAUCUUGCUGGCUGGGUGGGUAUCCCCUUCCUUCUUCACCACUCCAAGCGUGUCCCUCCCAAAGCUAUGCACUAGGUCAAAGAGGACAACCUUCCUCGAUAGAGGAGGACUGUUCUUCUGUUAAGGGUAUAUGAGUAGCUGCACUCCUCUGCUGUAAGCUCCAAACGAGCUCUCAUUGUGAUUUUAAUUUGCAUUUUUCUGAUAAGUAGCAUUGAGUACCUUUUUACCUAUUUAUUGGCCAUUCAUAUUUCUUCAAUAAAGUGUCGGUUUGAAUGUUU